AGAGUUUGAUCCUGGCUCAGAUUGAACGCUGGCGGCAUGCCUUACACAUGCAAGUCGAACGCGAAAGGGCUUCGGCCCGAGUAGAGUGGCGGACGGGUGAGUAAUGCGUGGGAAUCUACCCUAGAGCGGGGGACAACCCGGGGAAACUCGGGCUAAUACCGCAUACGUCCUACGGGAGAAAGGGGGCCUCUGAAUGUAAGCUCCCACUCCAGGAUGAGCCCACGUCCGAUUAGCUAGUUGGUAGGGUAAAGGCCUACCAAGGCCACGAUCGGUAGCUGGUCUGAGAGGAUGGCCAGCCACACUGGGACUGAGACACGGCCCAGACUCCUACGGGAGGCAGCAGUGGGGAAUAUUGGACAAUGGGCGCAAGCCUGAUCCAGCAAUGCCGCGUGUGUGAAGAAGGCCUGCGGGUUGUAAAGCACUUUCAGUGGGGAAGAACGGGCUAAGGUUAAUACCCCUGGCUUCUGACGUUACCCACAGAAGAAGCACCGGCUAACUCCGUG
rnacentral:rRNA from 1 species